rnacentral:rRNA from 1 species
GGACGGCCCGCCAGAGGACCCAAACUCUAUUGUUUCUUAUUGUAACUUCUGAGUAAAAUAAACAAAUAAAUUAAAACUUUCAACAACGGAUCUCUUGGUUCUGGCAUCGAUGAAGAACGCAGCGAAAUGCGAUAAGUAAUGUGAAUUGCAGAAUUCAGUGAAUCAUCGAAUCUUUGAACGCACAUUGCGCCCCUUGGUAUUCCGGGGGGCAUGCCUGUUCGAGCGUCAUUUCAACCCUCAAGCUUAGCUUGGUAUUGGGUCUAUGUCAGUAAUGGCAGGCUCUAAAAUCAUUGGCGGCGCCGCUGGGUCCUGAACGUAGUAAUAUCUCUNGUUACAGGUUCUCGGUGUGCUUCUGCCAAAACCCAAAUUUUUCUAUGGUUGACCUCGGAUCAGGUAGGGAUACCCGCUGAACUUAAGCAUAUCAAUAAGCGGAGGA